AACGAACGCUGGCGGCAUGCCUAACACAUGCAAGUCGAACGCUCCGCAAGGGGAGUGGCGCACGGGUGAGUAACACGUGGGAACCUGCCUAUUGGUUCGGAACAACGUUUGGAAACGAACGCUAAUACCGGAUAUCCCCCGAGGGGGAAAGAUUUAUCGCCAAUAGAGGGGCCCGCGUCCGAUUAGGUAGUUGGUGGGGUAAAGGCCUACCAAGCCGACGAUCGGUAGCUGGUCUGAGAGGAUGAUCAGCCACACUGGGACUGAGACACGGCCCAGACUCCUACGGGAGGCAGCAGUGGGGAAUAUUGGACAAUGGGCGGAAGCCUGAUCCAGCAAUGCCGCGUGAGUGAUGAAGGCCUUAGGGUUGUAAAGCUCUUUCGCACGUGACGAUGAUGACGGUAACGUGAGAAGAAGCCCCGGCUAACUUCGUGCCAGCCGCCGCAGUAA
rnacentral:rRNA from 1 species